GUUAGUCUUCAGGGCAGGGUUAGAUUCCCGACCGGCGGUUAUAGUCCGCGACCCGCAGUGAUGCGGCUGAGCUGGUGAAAUUCCAGUGCCGACAGUAAAGUCUGGUAUGUAGAAGAUUGUA
rnacentral:ncRNA from 2 species